GUUACAUUUUAGUCAGUACGCCCAGUGAGGUUAUCAUACUACAGAAAACACAACGGAAUUUGUCAAGCUAUUUUGAAAACUGGUUCUAGUCAUGGCAAAAACUGUGAUACUGCUGUUGAUGUGUCUUGUUGCCUUAAAUAUGGCUAUUUGUGGUGAAGUCCGGGCCAUGUCCCCAUCUGAGUUCCUAUCUGAAACUCAAUUCAAUAUGGAACAAGAAGAGGAGAACAACGGUGACACUGGCACAGAAAAGAGGUGCUGUGGUGGGAAAUAGCGAAAUCAGUGGAUAAAAUAAAUAAAUAUUAAUAAUCUGUAAAACAAA